rnacentral:rRNA from 1 species
GAACGAACGCUGGCGGCAGGCUUAACACAUGCAAGUCGAGCGCCCCGCAAGGGGAGCGGCAGACGGGUGAGUAACGCGUGGGAAUCUACCCAUCUCUACGGAACAACUCCGGGAAACUGGAGCUAAUACCGUAUACGUCCUUAUGGAGAAAGAUUUAUCGGAGAUGGAUGAGCCCGCGUUGGAUUAGCUAGUUGGUGGGGUAAUGGCCUACCAAGGCGACGAUCCAUAGCUGGUCUGAGAGGAUGAUCAGCCACACUGGGACUGAGACACGGCCCAGACUCCUACGGGAGGCAGCAGUGGGGAAUAUUGGACAAUGGGCGCAAGCCUGAUCCAGCCAUGCCGCGUGAGUGAUGAAGGCCCUAGGGUUGUAAAGCUCUUUCAACGGUGAAGAUAAUGACGGUAACCGUAGAAG